rnacentral:misc_RNA from 1 species
GAUACACCAUGAUAAAUAAAAUUUAACUAUAAAUAACUUGCAAAUCAAUGAUAACAACUUAUCAAGAUUUUAAUGAUAUUAAAAAUUAAAUUUUGAAAGUUUUUAAAAUACAUUAAAUUUAAGAAAUUACGCUAAUAUAAGAUUUUGAGGAAGGAAAAAUGAAUUCUUUUGAACCGCAAUGAUGGAAAUCCACUUACAAAAUUACAGAGCUCACUUUAGACUAGGAAAUGAUCGAGUUCAGUAUACCCCCACCAUAUUACAGAGAACCCUCUUCCCCCAGAUUUUUGGCCCUAAGAGGUAAAAUAACGUACCUAUGAAUAGAGAAGGUCCCCAGCUAUGCAAAAAUAUAUAAGAUAAAAACAACAGCUUACCAAGAAAAAAAAAGGAACAGACAGGGAAAAAAUG